GAGCCGGUCUCCAGGGCAGAUCUUCCGGGCGACUCGCCCAGUGAGAAAUUAGAAAAUGCUACAUAAUAAAACCCGAAAAAACUGAGAAAAAAAUAAUGUGUCAACUUCAUGAAUGAAAGCGCUCACAAUAUCCACCGUAAACACACACACACGCGCGCACACCUGCUCUAAGUCGGAAGUCACCGAGAGACAACGAAGUAUACCUCAGAUCAUUCAUGGAAAGCCAUCGUCUAUAUUAAAAUGCCAGUUCUAGUACAACACAAGUGCCACUGAAGACCUCUGUGAUUCCCCCACCCCUCCUUGGCAGGACUGCUUCUGUCCCCUUGGAUCUAUUCGUUUGAAAUCGUUUGGGCGAUGACUCUUUGAAAGUGGUGGUCAUUCUGGGAUGUCAGGUUCAAAAUGCAACAAAGACCUCCCUUUUUAUGCACAAAUGCUAAUUAAAUUUUUUCACCCCCCCAUCCCCAAGCUGCAGAGGGAGAGACUUGGUAGCAAUUUGGCAGAUAAUCAAAUUGCAUUUUAAAUGGAGCCGUUUAAAGAUGACUGGAGUCUGCUCCCGGGAAGACACAGUGGCACGAAUUAGGCUUGAAUAAACUGCCAUGUGGAUAGAGGAACGACGCAACAAAAUUCACAUGGCAAUAGGUAGCUGCAUUUAUACAAAUGGAGAACAUGCAGUGUUUGAUUCAUGCUUUUGUUAAUUAGUCAAAAAGAAGCCGGGUUUGUUUUUGACAAAUGCAUGCAUGCAGGAAUUCUGUUUUUCUUUUAAUUAUUAUUUUACUCUGACUAAGUGGCGUUUUCUUCAUUAUCUGUCUUUUCAAUUUCACCAAUUGAGGCAAAAUGUUAAUAAGACAUGAUUUGUUAACACUUGCGGUACCUUGGUAACGUUUUUUUUGCUUAAUUUUAGAUGUUCAGCCUGACAGUAAGGGCGAGCUGUGUGGAAAUGUUGUCAACAGCUAUGUUUGUCUACAAAAGUCUGCGCUUAGAAGCUGUCCCUCCACAUUUGGUAUACAUCAUUAAGUUCUUCGUGGCCCAUCAAAUUGUUUAUUCACACAGCAUUCCAGUACAUAUUAGUGACAUCUCGUUAGCGGAAAACAGAAAACUGACACAAAAAAUUUGUGAAACAGGCUUGAACUGUUUAUCCCCCCCUGAACAAGUAGAAAGUGUUAUUCUCAUGAAAUGAUAGAAUUGGAUCAAAGAUGCAGUUCCCAAGGCCUCUCUCUCUCUCUCUCUCUCUCUCUCUCUCUCUCUGAAAAACCGAAAGCACGAAAUAAUCUGUUUAGUUUUCAACACCAUUCUUACUCGGGCAACAUUUCAUGUAAAGUUUAACAUUCAUCACCAAUACAACCAUCGGACUUGCUUCAUAUCCAUAAAACCCCAUUAUGGACGGCACAACAAGUGAUGCUUGACUUGUAAGUUUAAAGGGUCUUAAUUGGCUGUGAUUUGCCGGCUGUACAGCAGUUACUGCGAAAGGGGCAUAAUGAUCCUCCUUGGACGACACGUGACUUUUCUGGCAACUUAAUGCACCUUAACGCCGCGUGUGUCUGUCUCCGUUGUUUUCAUCUCAGCCCCGUAACAGAGUGACAUAACAAUGGCUUCGACCCGCCCACUACAGUUUGCACUUGAGUGGAUGUAAUGUUGACCUCCUCCACCUUCUCUACAGAUAACCGCAUCCAGAGAUAGUCCCUGGAGAUCUUUUACAAUGAUCCCCCCCAAGGCAGUUUCUCUGUUUUCGCUGUAUACUUGUGGUCAAAGCAGCUGAAUACAUUUGGAGAACUGUGAAGCACCGAAGCAGCUCUGCCAUGUAGUUUUAGAUGCUUAUUACAGUAGGCCAGGAAAAAAAAAGGAAAAGGAAGUUCCCAAGAUACUUUUGAUGGAAGAAAAUGUUUUUAUUGAUGACAGAACAAUACAAUGAAUGCCUUUUUAAUGUCGACCGGUUUAUAUUAGAUCACCACUGAUAGAGUAGGAAGUGCAUUUUAAUUUUCUUGAGCAUUCUAGCUUCUAUCUGUAAUAUUCCUGUUUUUGUACAAACGUCUUUUUCUGCAGUCUGCAUUUUUCUGUUGUUGUUGAUAAAAGCAACAUUAAGGAGAGGGCUCCCUAAUUGGAGCAACACAAUCCCUGUCUUAUGAUGUUGAUUGACAAAUAUUGUUGCAAAGUUAAUGACACAAGAGGGAAUUUGAUUGAUCAAGUGGGUGACUGAUCGUAAAGCUGCAGUCAAUAUUUGGCUGUAGCUUUAUUUUCCGUCUGAACAACGGUGUGGCAGGAUGUAUGGCUCGACACACAGCACUGGCAAAACACAUAUUGACACUUCUGUCUCUCCUGAGCCCGCUGCCGCUGCCUCUGUUUGCUAUACAGUAAAUAACGUCCCAUGAUGCUAAAAUGAACAGUCUUAGUGUAUUUAUUCAGUUGGUGCAAAGGGUAUUGGUUAAACCUGACCAAUUUUAGUGUAGCUGGAGUGAAAGUCUCCCUCUAAUUACUGUACCGUGUGGAUGAUGCAAAAGAUGGUAUAAAAAGUCUCUUUUAUUUAUAGAACAAAAAUUGUAACUUUAGAGACCAUAGGCUAGUUCUUUGUUUACGGUGAGCAGACUUUAUCUUUUUAAUAAAAAAUCCGUACUUGGUGAAAGUUUAAUUAAUAAGGGACUUAAAGCUAAGGGAAUGAGCAAGGGACUUGGGUCUUUAAGGGGGUACUUAUUUUUCCAUCCGGGCUAUCCUCCAAAAAAACUGUCAAUUAGUGUGUUAAGCUGAAGAGACAAAAAACGUCAUUAGUUCUUUCAAAAAGAAUAAUGGGUUUUAAAGGUUUUGCUUUGGUGGCAGACCAAAGUCUCUUUGCACAAGACUGAGUCAUGAGUAUUUUCAUUCAUUUCUUGCAAUUAUGAAUGUUUGAAGGAUGGGUUUAUUGUUCUAAGGUUGAUUGAGGAAGCGGACACAGUGGGUUGUUUUGUAACUGUGUACCUUAAUUGUCUGAGAUAAGACAAAUAAAAUGAGUUGUAUUUGGUGGAGUGAAUCA